rnacentral:rRNA from 1 species
CGGCGUGCCUAAUACAUGCAAGUAGAACGCUGAAGAGAGGAGCUUGCUCUUCUUGGAUGAGUUGCGAACGGGUGAGUAACGCGUAGGUAACCUGCCUUGUAGCGGGGGAUAACUAUUGGAAACGAUAGCUAAUACCGCAUAACAAUAGGUGACACAUGUCAUUUAUUUGAAAGGGGCAAUUGCUCCACUACAAGAUGGACCUGCGUUGUAUUAGCUAGUAGGUGAGGUAACGGCUCACCUAGGCGACGAUACAUAGCCGACCUGAGAGGGUGAUCGGCCACACUGGGACUGAGACACGGCCCAGACUCCUACGGGAGGCAGCAGUAGGGAAUCUUCGGCAAUGGGGGCAACCCUGACCGAGCAACGCCGCGUGAGUGAAGAAGGUUUUCGGAUCGUAAAGCUCUGUUGUAAGUCAAGAACGAGUGUGAGAGUGGAAAGUUCACACUGUGACGGUAGCUUACCAGAAAGGGACGGCUAACUACGUGCCAGCAGCCGCGGUAAUACGUAGGUCCCGAGCGUUGUCCGGAUUUAUUGGGCGUAAAGCGAGCGCAGGCGGUUUGAUAAGUCUGAAGUUAAAGGCUGUGGCUCAACCAUAGUUCGCUUUGGAAACUGUCAAACUUGAGUGCAGAAGGGGAGAGUGGAAUUCCAUGUGUAGCGGUGAAAUGCGUAGAUAUAUGGAGGAACACCGGUGGCGAAAGCGGCUCUCUGGUCUGUAACUGACGCUGAGGCUCGAAAGCGUGGGGAGCGAACAGGAUUAGAUACCCUGGUAGUCCACGCCGUAAACGAUGAGUGCUAGGUGUUGGAUCCUUUCCGGGAUUCAGUGCCGCAGCUAACGCAUUAAGCACUCCGCCUGGGGAGUACGACCGCAAGGUUGAAACUCAAAGGAAUUGACGGGGGCCCGCACAAGCGGUGGAGCAUGUGGUUUAAUUCGAAGCAACGCGAAGAACCUUACCAGGUCUUGACAUCCCGAUGCUAUUUCUAGAGAUAGAAAGUUACUUCGGUACAUCGGUGACAGGUGGUGCAUGGUUGUCGUCAGCUCGUGUCGUGAGAUGUUGGGUUAAGUCCCGCAACGAGCGCAACCCCUAUUGUUAGUUGCCAUCAUUCAGUUGGGCACUCUAGCGAGACUGCCGGUAAUAAACCGGAGGAAGGUGGGGAUGACGUCAAAUCAUCAUGCCCCUUAUGACCUGGGCUACACACGUGCUACAAUGGUUGGUACAACGAGUUGCGAGUCGGUGACGGCAAGCUAAUCUCUUAAAGCCAAUCUCAGUUCGGAUUGUAGGCUGCAACUCGCCUACAUGAAGUCGGAAUCGCUAGUAAUCGCGGAUCAGCACGCCGCGGUGAAUACGUUCCCGGGCCUUGUACACACCGCCCGUCACACCACGAGAGUUUGUAACACCCGAAGUCGGUGAGGUAACCUUUUGGAGCCAGCCGCCUAAGGUGGGAUAGAUGAUUGG